UGCAAGUCGAACGAUGAUCAGGAGCUUGCUCCUGUGAUUAGUGGCGAACGGGUGAGUAACACGUGAGUAACCUGCCCCUGACUCUGGGAUAAGCGUUGGAAACGACGUCUAAUACUGGAUAUGAUCACUGGCCGCAUGGUCUGGUGGUGGAAAGAUUUUUUGGUUGGGGAUGGACUCGCGGCCUAUCAGCUUGUUGGUGAGGUAAUGGCUCACCAAGGCGACGACGGGUAGCCGGCCUGAGAGGGUGACCGGCCACACUGGGACUGAGACACGGCCCAGACUCCUACGGGAGGCAGCAGUGGGGAAUAUUGCACAAUGGGCGAAAGCCUGAUGCAGCAACGCCGCGUGAGGGAUGACGGCCUUCGGGUUGUAAACCUCUUUUAGUAGGGAAGAAGCGAAAGUGACGGUACCUGCAGAAAAAGCACCGGCUAACUACGUGCCAGCAGCCGCGGUAAUACGUAGGGUGCAAGCGUUGUCCGGAAUUAUUGGGCGUAAAGAGCUCGUAGGCGGUUUGUCGCGUCUGCUGUGAAAUCCCGAGGCUCAACCUCGGGCUUGCAGUGGGUACGGGCAGACUAGAGUGCGGUAGGGGAGAUUGGAAUUCCUGGUGUAGCGGUGGAAUGCGCAGAUAUCAGGAGGAACACCGAUGGCGAAGGCAGAUCUCUGGGCCGUAACUGACGCUGAGGAGCGAAAGCGUGGGGAGCGAACAGGAUUAGAUACCCUGGUAGUCCACGCCGUAAACGUUGGGCGCUAGAUGUA
rnacentral:rRNA from 1 species